rnacentral:rRNA from 1 species
CACGUAGGGUGCGAGCGUUGUCCGGAAUUAUUGGGCGUAAAGAGCUCGUAGGCGGUGUGUCGCGUCGGCCGUGAAAACCUGCAGCUUAACUGUGGGCGUGCGGUCGAUACGGGCAUCACUGGAGUUCGGCAGGGGAGACUGGAAUUCCUGGUGUAGCGGUGAAAUGCGCAGAUAUCAGGAGGGACACCGGUGGCGAAGGCGGGUCUCUGGGCCGAUACUGACGCUGAGACGCGAAAGCGUGGGGAGCGAACAGG